rnacentral:rRNA from 1 species
UGGGGAAUAUUGCACAAUGGGGGAAACCCUGAUGCAGCGACGCCGCGUGAGCGAAGAAGGUUUUCGAAUCGUAAAGCUCUGUCCUAUGAGAAGAUAAUGACGGUAUCAUAGGAGGAAGCCCCGGCUAACUACGUGCCAGCAGCCGCGGUAAUACGUAGGGGGCAAGCGUUGUCCGGAAUCACUGGGCGUAAAGGGUUCGCAGGCGGAAAUGCAAGUCAGUUGUGAAAGGCAGAGGCUCAACCUCUGUAAGCAAUUGAAACUGUAUUUCUUGAGAUGUGGAGAGGCAAGUGGAAUUCCUAGUGUAGCGGUGAAAUGCGUAGAUAUUAGGAAGAAUACCGGUGGCGAAGGCGACUUGCUGGACACAAACUGACGCUGAGGAACGAAAGCGUGGGUAGCAAACAGG